CCGGCGACCAUAGCAGCAGCUUCAAUUUGGAAUUUGAAGAGACGAAUUCUAUAUUGCGAUUUGGUCUGAUUUUGGUUUCCGUCUAAUUUGCGAUUUGGUCUGAUUUUGAUUUUUAGUUUUGGCUAUGCGAUUUGAUAGAGGGGCGAAGGGUGACGGUCGGCGUCGGCGUCGACGUCGCCGUCGCCGGCGUCGGCGUCGGCGUCGCCGGCGUCGGCGUCGCGUCGUCGUGGGCCAGAAAAUGGUUCAAACACAGUGAGAAGAAAAAAGUGGACCAAACUUAAUUAACUCUUUGACUAUGGUGGAUCACUUAAUUAAAACAUAACAAUCUUUUUCUUAGUCUCCGUGCCGAAAAGAACG
rnacentral:lncRNA from 1 species